rnacentral:lncRNA from 1 species
GAUGAAUCUACUCCCAUUUCUCUGCACGCAGCUCAGUCUCGUCCAUCCAGUGCUGUAGAAUUUUCUUUGGUCUGUUGGCAAGGCAGCCAUGAAACCCCCUCAGCUGCCGGCAGGGGAGGGGGCCUCCUGGGCUCACGAGGUCAAGCAGGCCCUCCGUGAGAAACUCCGGCGCUCCUACGGCGCCGGAGCUGCCUCCGCCACACCGGAGGCCAGGCCGGCCGGCGAACCAAGCCGUGGCGCUGAGUGCCGCGGCUCGGCGGCCGAGGACCCCAUAAGGAGAGUCAUGUUCUUGGCUCCCUGGGGUCACACAUAAGAACACAAACCGGCCGGCCGAGAUCUGGGCAUGCAAGCUUGCAUGGCCAUGUCUUGGUCAGUCAGAUCUGCAAACAACCAAACUGUAAAAAAGAACUGGAGCCUGUCUUGUAAAUCAUGGAGCUUGCUGCUGCUUGCACCCAUGAAAAACAUGAACGCAUGGAGAGCUGGUUAACUAGCUAGGUAGAUAGAUAUAUCAUAUAUGGGUAUGAUGGUGUGGAUGAGAAUAAAAAACAAGGUACGUAGUCCAUGUCUCUGGUCUUGGGGAGUGGCUGUGAGCCUGUGAGAUCCUGGGAAGUUCAUGCAUGGCAUGAGUCAUGGGUGUGGUGGGCUCAAGAGGGAGAUCUGAAACUUGUGUAGCCACUACGAACUUGUUUUCCAGAAAUCUUGUAAGUAGGGGAGCCUGUGAAUAAUCUAGAAAACAAAUCUUCCUGCUCUGCGUGUCCACCUUUGCUUCCAGGUUCAGAAGAUUCUUCUUCUAGUGGUGAUGCUUUAUCUCUAUGCUCUGUCCAAAACUUCUUUACUGCCUUCUUGAUCUUUUCAGCUGUUGGGUGGUUUAAUCCUACAGCCAUGAGAGGCAAACAUGCUCAUGAACUGAAUUCGUGUUUUCUUCUUGCAAAGAAACGUCUAGAAACUGACAUGGCUGGCAAAAUAAUGCAACGGCUUUGCAUGUCAAGGUGAUUUGAUUCAGUUGGUUGUGAAGAAAGGCCAUUUUCAUUUCCUUAUGAUCUGCUGGGAUUUUAGGAACCAUGAAUCCAGCCAGCUACGUGCCCACGGAAGAUUAAUGAUCUCAACACUUGCAAAUUUGAAGCAACAAACCUCAAAAGAUCUCGGGAGUUCAGUGAAGAUCAAAGACAAAACCUAUUAAAAGCUGCACCCUGCGAUAAAGCUGAGAGCUUCUUUUCCAAAUAUAUCUUUGCACUAUCAUAUGGUUUGCUAUAUGUGCAGUAUCAUUUCGUUGCUAUAAUUUGGACAGAACACAGAAGUCACCCAGGAAAAAAGAAGAAUAAAAGGAGACCCUUUAUAAAACUGGACUCCUCUUUUCCUAUGGAUUAAU